UUUGCUCACCAUUUGCUAAGUAGAAAACUGAAAUGAGCACCAUUAAGCUGAGCCUGUGUCUUCUGAUCAUGCUGGCUGUUUGUUGCUAUGAAGGUGCGUAUUAUUGAUUAUUCCAGCCACAGCUUCUGCUAAUGCUAGCCAGAUCUGUGAACUUGUUGCUCAUGAAACCAUAAGCUUCUUAAUGAAAAGUGAGGAAGAACUGAAGAAGGAACUUGAGAUGUAUAAUGCACCUCCAGCAGCUGUUGAAGCAAAACUGGAAGUGAAGAGAUGUGUAGACCAGAUGAGCAAUGGAGACAGAUUGGUAGUAGCAGAAACACUGGUAUACAUUUUUUUGGAAUGUGGUGUGAAACAAUGGGUAGAAACAUAUUAUCCUGAGAUCGAUUUCUACUACGAUAUGAACUGAUUUUUCCUGUUCAAUGUGAUGGUUUCAAAGUCUUGCACCAAUAAAUUAUUCUCCUUGC
rnacentral:lncRNA from 1 species